GUUAUUGCAGGAAGGCACUCCGAAGGGAUAAGACUGUGGGACAUGGCUGAGGAUAAAAGCAAGAGAGACUCCAUGCGAAUGGGUACGAAGGGAUGCUGGACAAACAAUGGGUUUGUCCAAAAUGAAGACAUCCUAGAGAGGCACCUGGAUCCAGACAGCCCAGCAGAUAGCUCGCAGCACAGUGCUGUGGGCAUCCUUGACUCCUCCGAGCCCGUCGUGAAGGACAUCAGGCCCUAUGCAGGGAUGCCCAAGGACGUGCUAUUCCAGUUCUCACGCCAGGCCCGCUACCGGGUUCCCCGGGAGAUCCUCUUCUGGCUCAUUGUGGCUUCUGUGCUGGUGCUCAUUGCGGCCACCAUAGCCAUCAUUGCCAUCUCUCCAAAGUGCCUCGACUGGUGGCAAGCAGGUCCCAUGUACCAGAUCUACCCGAGAUCUUUCAAGGACAGUGAUAAGGAUGGGAAUGGAGAUCUAAAAGGUAUUCAAGAGAAGCUGGACUACAUCACAACUUUAAAUAUAAAAACUGUUUGGAUUACUUCAUUUUAUAAAUCACCCCUUAAAGAUUUCCGAUAUGGUGUUGAAGAUUUCCGAGAAAUCGAUCCUAUUUUUGGAACAAUGAAAGAUUUUGAGAGUCUGGUUGCAGCCACACAUGAUAAAGGUUUAAAACUGAUAAUAGAUUUCAUACCAAACCAUACCAGUGAUAAACAUGCUUGGUUUCAACUGAGUCGGAACCGGACAGGGAAGUAUACUGAUUAUUAUAUCUGGCAUGACUGUCCCCAUGAAAAUGGCACAACCACACCACCCAACAACUGGGUAAGUGUAUAUGGAAACUCCAGUUGGCAUUUUGAUGAAGUGCGAAACCAAUGUUACUUUCACCAGUUUACGAAAGAGCAACCUGAUUUAAAUUUCCACAAUCUUGAUGUUCAAGAAGAAAUAAAAGAAAUUAUGCAGUACUGGCUCACAAAGGGUGUUGAUGGCUUUAGUUUCGAUGCUGUUAAAUUUCUUCUAGAAGCAAAGCACCUGAGAGAUGAGGCCCAAGUGAAUAAGACUCAAGUCCCGGACACGGUCACUCACUAUUCGGAGCUGUAUCAUGACUUCACCACAACACAGGUGGGAAUGCACGACAUCGUUCGGAGCUUCCGGCAGACAAUGGACAAAUACAGCAGGGAGCCUGGCAGAUACAGGUUCAUGGGGAUGGAAGCUCAUGGAGAGGGCAUUGACAGGACCAUGAUGUACUACGGGCUGCCUUUUAUCCAAGAAGCAGAUUUUCCCUUCAACAAUUACCUCAGUAAGCUAGACACUCCUUCUGGAAACUCUGUGUUUGAGGUUAUCACAUCCUGGAUGGAAAACAUGCCGGAGGGAAAAUGGCCCAAUUGGAUGGUCGGUGGACCCAACAAUGCCCGGCUGACUUCCCGUUUGGGGAAAGAAUAUGUCAACGUCAUGAAUAUGCUUGUUUUCACACUCCCUGGAACUCCUAUAACUUACUAUGGGGAAGAAAUAGGAAUGGGAAAUAUUUUAGCCUCAAAUCUCAACGAAAGCUAUGAUGCUGAUACCCUUUUCUCAAAGUCACCAAUGCAGUGGGACAAUAGCUCAAAUGCUGGUUUUAGUGAAGGCAGUCACACCUGGUUACCCACCAGUUCAGAUUACCACACUGUGAAUGUUGAUUCAUUAUAUUCUAGAAUAUCUAACCAGGAAGCAAGAGAAUGAUGGAGGUGAAAUGAGCUGCUAUAACUUCAUAAUUUGGGAUACCAGGAAAAGACUGUAGAGAACAGAACAAAGUAUUUCAGUUAAAGCACAGAAAAACUACCCCUAAAGACCACUAAGAAUGGAGCAUCUGAAAACAGGCAGCCUCUGGAUCCAGGACCAAAGUGUUGUUGGUGGGCAGCAGAGUCAAAGGAUUCAUGCAUUCCUGAGUCCCAGUGUGCUCUGCCUGACUUCCUGGCACUGGUCGGGAGGAAAAUACAACAACCAAGAAUAUGCAACAGUGACCAUAUGUGGCCUGCAAAACCUAAAAUGUUUACUAUUCCUCAGAGAAAAAGUUUGCCAACUCCUGAUGCAGACCAUCAAAAACUGAUUCAACAGGUAUGUUCUGAGAGCCUGCUUACUAUUACCAGGCAUUGUGCAAAAUACAGGCCUUGUAAGUACGAAUAAGCAAAAAUCCCCUGCCCUGAAGUAGAUCCUAGGUUUGUGAGGAAAGGAAACAGCUACUAAGCAAUGUGGCUGCUGGUAUCACACAAGUGUACUUAAGGUACCACCACAGGAGCAGAAGAAACAACACCUGCCUGUCAGGAAGGUU